CGUAUAUGGGAAUGAAGAUAUAAACGUUUUAACACGUGUGUUAGAGAUUGCGCAAAGUCAAAUGAGGCAAAAAUAAAGGGAUGGAGGAAGUAAUUGCUAACCCAACGUCUCAAGACUCUCAAAGUCUCAAGUCAAAUGAGCUGCCAAUUCAUUGUUUGGGUCAAGUCCAUAAUGGGUUGGUUGCUGGUUCAUUUGUUGUCCUUCUACAAAACCCCCCCAGAAGGGCCACAACACCCAACUCACCACUCUCCCCUCAUUUGGCGAAAACCCUACUCAUCUCCGGGAGCUGAGCUGCAGUAAGACCAGCACCAGCAGCGAUGGCUGGAUCAAGUUACAUUGUUCGAACUUGGAAAUGUUAUUGAGUCCCUUGCUUAAGCCGCCUCAAGCUCAAAUGAGUAAUUUGGUGUGUUCAACUCUAAAGAAUGAUCGAAGAAUGGGAUUUGUGGUCUACCGCGUUCGUGUGAGAAGAGGUGGUCAUAGGAGGCCGGCGCCAAAGGUAUUGUGAAUGGUAAGCCAACAAACAAGGGUUUAACUCAGUUGAAGUUCCAGCACAGCAAGAGGUCAGUUGCCAAAGAGCGUGCUGGCCACAAAUUGGGUGGCCUUAGGAUUCUCAAUUCCUACAGGCUCAAUGAGGUUUUCCACCUGGUUACCCCAUUUUAGCUUCAUAUGCUAAAUAUGGUUGGAAUUUUUUUAUUUUGAUUUUUCUUAAAAAUUGGGCAAAUGAUGAGUAAUCUUGAGUUCCUAUAGUUGUAGCCAACACCACUUUGUGGUAGGAGGCUCACUAUAGAUGAGUUUGCUUUGAGCAAAUGUUGAAUGCAGUCUUUCAUUUUAUAGCUAUAGCCUCCCUGCGCUGCGGUUGUUGAGGCUUUGCUAAUGAUCUUUUGUUUCAUAGCAAUAGCCACCCCACUUUGUGGUUGUUGUGGCUUUGCUAAUGCAGUCUUUAAUGUUAUAGCUAUAGCCACCCUGCUUUGCGGUAGUUGAGGCUUUGCUAUAGACUUUGCUGCUGUUGCUAAAUUGCUACUACUGUUGUUGUCUUUGUCUUUGUUGUUGUUGUUGUUGUUGAUGUUGCUGCUAUUCUGUUCUGCUGCUGCUGCUGCUGCUGCUACUGCUGUUCAUUAUGCCUCUUCCUUCCUAUUCAUUCCCUUCUCUUUUGACAAUUAUUUGAGGAAGUAAACUUUCAUGCAUUAUGGAGUACGGAGAAAUCCUUACAACACUGUUCGCAACGCCACAGAAACAACUCGAGAAUCAACUGGAAUUACAAUCCUGUCCACAAGCAUAGAGGAGAGCUCUGUGACAUAUACAUUCGCAGGUGAAAAUACAGCAGUUUUGGCAGUGGUCAACCUCAAGAACAGGCCAUCUUGCAGGGCAAACAUGGAACAUAAACCAGACCAAAUCCUUUCGUCGAUACAUCUAAUUUCGGUUAUUUGGCCUUUUUUCGCAUCAAAUAUUGGGUUCUUUUUUAGUCUGUAUUGCUACUUAAUCUGUAAUUAAAGUACUGAAUUGUUCAAGUCUAUCUUUCUUAAACAGGCAAAACAGCAGUCUAAGACAGAUGGUGUAUCUAAUUCUGGUUGAAAUAAAAUAUUGGAAACUUUCUUCUAGUCCCUUUUCA